rfam:Sarcophilus harrisii ctg7180002485261, whole genome shotgun sequence.
GCUCUUUCCCUCAGACUUAUUGGCACUGGUUACAGAAAAGCCUUCAAGCUCUGAAGAAAAGGGC